rnacentral:rRNA from 1 species
CCUACGGGAGGCAGCAGUGAGGAAUAUUGGUCAAUGGGCGCGAGCCUGAACCAGCCAAGUCGCGUGAGGGAGGACGGCCCUACGGGUUGUAAACCUCUUUUGCCGGGGAGCAACGGGCGUCACGUGUGGCGCCACUGAGAGUACCCGGAGAAAAAGCAUCGGCUAACUCCGUGCAGCCGCCGCGGUAAUUCGGGGGAUGCGAGCGUUAACCGGUUUUAUUGGGUUUAAAGGGGGCGUAGGCGGAUCGUUAAGUCAGUGGUAAAAUUGAGGGGCUCAACCCCUUCCCGCCAUUGAAACUGGCGUUCUUGAGUGGAAGAGAAGUAUGCGGAAUGCGUGGUGUAGCGGUGAAAUGCAUAGAUAUCACGCAGAACUCCGAUUGCGAAGGCAGCCUACUAAACUGCCACUGACAUUGAUGCUCGAAAGUGUGGGUAUCAAACAGGAUUAGAUACCCCUGUAGUC